UGUAGAGCAGACUGGAUUCUCU
rnacentral:miRNA from 1 species